rnacentral:rRNA from 1 species
AGAGUUUGAUCCUGGCUCAGGAUGAACGCUAGCGACAGGCUUAACACAUGCAAGUCGAGGGGCAGCGGGGGUAGCAAUACCCGCCGGCGACCGGCGCACGGGUGAGUAACGCGUAUGCAACUUACCUAUCAGAGGGGGAUAACCCGGCGAAAGUCGGACUAAUACCGCAUGAAGCAGGGAUCCCGCAUGGGAAUAUUUGCUAAAGAUUCAUCGCUGAUAGAUAGGCAUGCGUUCCAUUAGGCAGUUGGCGGGGUAACGGCCCACCAAACCGACGAUGGAUAGGGGUUCUGAGAGGAAGGUCCCCCACAUUGGUACUGAGACACGGACCAAACUCCUACGGGAGGCAGCAGUGAGGAAUAUUGGUCAAUGGGCGUAAGCCUGAACCAGCCAAGUCGCGUGAGGGAUGAAGGUUCUAUGGAUCGUAAACCUCUUUUAUAAGGGAAUAAAGUGCGGGACGUGUCCCGUUUUGUAUGUACCUUAUGAAUAAGGAUCGGCUAACUCCGUGCCAGCAGCCGCGGUAAUACGGAGGAUCCGAGCGUUAUCCGGAUUUAUUGGGUUUAAAGGGUGCGUAGGCGGCCUUUUAAGUCAGCGGUGAAAGUCUGUGGCUCAACCAUAGAAUUGCCGUUGAAACUGGGGGGCUUGAGUAUGUUUGAGGCAGGCGGAAUGCGUGGUGUAGCGGUGAAAUGCUUAGAUAUCACGCAGAACCCCGAUUGCGAAGGCAGCCUGCCAAGCCAUGACUGACGCUGAUGCACGAAAGCGUGGGGAUCAAACAGGAUUAGAUACCCUGGUAGUCCACGCAGUAAACGAUGAUCACUAGCUGUUUGCGAUACACUGUAAGCGGCACAGCGAAAGCGUUAAGUGAUCCACCUGGGGAGUACGCCGGCAACGGUGAAACUCAAAGGAAUUGACGGGGGCCCGCACAAGCGGAGGAACAUGUGGUUUAAUUCGAUGAUACGCGAGGAACCUUACCCGGGUUUGAACGCAUUCGGACCGAGGUGGAAACACCUUUUCUAGCAAUAGCCGUUUGCGAGGUGCUGCAUGGUUGUCGUCAGCUCGUGCCGUGAGGUGUCGGCUUAAGUGCCAUAACGAGCGCAACCCUUGCCACUAGUUACUAACAGGUAAAGCUGAGGACUCUGGUGGGACUGCCAGCGUAAGCUGCGAGGAAGGCGGGGAUGACGUCAAAUCAGCACGGCCCUUACAUCCGGGGCGACACACGUGUUACAAUGGCGUGGACAAAGGGAAGCCACCUGGCGACAGGGAGCGAAUCCCCAAACCACGUCUCAGUUCGGAUCGGAGUCUGCAACCCGACUCCGUGAAGCUGGAUUCGCUAGUAAUCGCGCAUCAGCCAUGGCGCGGUGAAUACGUUCCCGGGCCUUGUACACACCGCCCGUCAAGCCAUGGGAGCCGGGGGUACCUGAAGUCCGUAACCGCGAGGAUCGGCCUAGGGUAAAACUGGUGACUGGGGCUAAGUCGUAACAAGGUAGCCGUACCGGAAGGUGCGGCUG